rnacentral:rRNA from 1 species
UACGUAGGUGGCAAGCGUUGUCCGGAUUUAUUGGGUUUAAAGGGUGCGUAGGCGGUCUAUUAAGUCAGUGCUGAAAUAUCCCGGCUUAACCGGGAGGGUGGCAUUGAUACUGAUGGACUUGAGUAAAGUUGAGGUUGGCGGAAUUGACGGUGUAGCGGUGAAAUGCUUAGAUAUCGUCAAGAACACCUAUUGCGAAGGCAGCUAACUAGCUAAACUGACGCUGAGGCACGAAAGUGUGGGGGAUCAAAACAGG